rnacentral:tRNA from 1 species
UAGCUCAGAUGGUAAAGAAUCUUCCUGCAAUGAAGAAGACCCAGGUUCGAUCCCUGG